AGUCGUGGGGGAUAACGUAGCGAAAGCUACGCUAAUACCGCAUGUGAUCUGUGGAUGAAAGCGGGGGACUCGCAAGAGCCUCGCGCGAUUGGAGCGGCCGACAUCAGAUUAGCUUGUUGGUGGGGUAAAAGCCUACCAAGGCGACGAUCUGUAGCUGGUCUGAGAGGACGACCAGCCACACUGGGACUGAGACACGGCCCAGACUCCUACGGGAGGCAGCAGUGGGGAAUUUUGGACAAUGGACGAAAGUCUGAUCCAGCCAUGCCGCGUGCAGGAAGAAGGCCUUCGGGUUGUAAACUGCUUUUGUCAGGGAAGAAAUCCUUUGAGCUAAUACCUCGGGGGGAUGACGGUACCUGAAGAAUAAGCACCGGCUAACUACGUGCCAGCAGCCGCGGUAAUACGUAGGGUGCGAGCGUUAAUCGGAAUUACUGGGCGUAAAGCGUGCGCAGGCGGUUAUACAAGACAGAUGUGAAAUCCCCGGGCUCAACCUGGGAACUGCAUUUGUGACUGUAUAGCUAGAGUACGGUAGAGGGGGAUGGAAUUCCGCGUGUAGCAGUGAAAUGCGUAGAUAUGCGGAGGAACACCGAUGGCGAAGGCAAUCCCCUGGACCGGUACUGACGCUCAUGCACGACAGCGUGGGGAGCAAACAGGCUUAGAUACCCAGCA
rnacentral:rRNA from 1 species